GGCAGCCAUUUUGCUCCCCUGAGAGAAGGGCCUGAAGUUAGAGCCCACAGGAAGAGGCAGAGCUGAGAGGGAAAAAAACACCAAGUCUUGUGACACUGAGCAGUGGAAUCUGCCUGUCCUCCUCUGGACAUUUCAGUAGUUUAGUCAUUCAGUUCCCUUUCUUGCUUCAUCUGGUGUUGAGUUUUUCUGUCACUUAUUGCAAAGAGUCCUAAUUGAUGUGAACAGAAGGGAGAGGUUUCCUUUUUUUCUCUCUCUCUGAUCCAAAAUGACUGCUGCAUCAGUAAACACUUGGGAGUGAAGCAGGCGCUGUAGACCAUCGCCCGGGAAUGCCUACGUCUCACCAGCACCACGUGCCUUAC
rnacentral:lncRNA from 1 species